GCUGUGAUGAAAAUGCUUUAUUUGAUCAGUAAUGAGCUGAAAGAUCCUAAAUUGUCCUCUAAGAAGUUCUGAGCUU
ensembl:snoRNA SNORD61 small nucleolar RNA SNORD61